rnacentral:rRNA from 1 species
GAUGAACGCUGGCGGCGUGCCUAAUACAUGCAAGUCGAGCGAACGGGCGAGAAGCUUGCUUCUCUGAUGUUAGCGGCGGACGGGUGAGUAACACGUGGAUAACCUACCUAUAAGACUGGGAUAACUUCGGGAAACCGUAGCUAAUACCGGAUAAUAUUUUGAACCGCAUGGUUCAAAAGUGAAAGACGGUCUUGCUGUCACUUAUAGAUGGAUCCGCGCUGCAUUAGCUAGUUGGUAAGGUAACGGCUUACCAAGGCAACGAUGCGUAGCCGACCUGAGAGGGUGAUCGGCCACACUGGAACUGAGACACGGUCCAGACUCCUACGGGAGGCAGCAGUAGGGAAUCUUCCGCAAUGGGCGAAAGCCUGACGGAGCAACGCCGCGUGAGUGAUGAAGGUCUUCGGAUCGUAAAACUCUGUUAUUAGGGAAGAACAUAUGUGUAAGUAACUGUGCACAUCUUGACGGUACCUAAUCAGAAAGCCACGGCUAACUACGUG